rnacentral:lncRNA from 1 species
GAGGGGACUAAUAAGGUUGCCUAGGUUACGGGUGACAAAAGUUUUUUUAAACCACAUAUUUAGAUAUAGCUACUUUCUGAAGACAGGUAGAACAAGAACACUAAACACUCCAGCAGCAGCAGGAAGCAGGAAGCAGGAAGCAAGGAUUGGGGUUAAGGGUUGCUACAAGUGACAUCGUGAUAUCUGACCUUUUUAAAAGAAAGGUCAAUAUGAGGAAGAGGAAGUGCUGUAGUUUUCAUGUCGUAGUAAGAAUAACUAAGAACUGUAGUACCAGUGAUAGGUAGUCCUGUGAGGUGUUACAGUAGUACCAGUGACAGGUAGUCCUGUGAGAUGUUACAGUAGUACCAGUGACAGGUAGUGCUGUGAGGUGUUACAGUAGUACCAGUGACAGGUAGUGCUGUGAGGUGUUACAGUAGUACCAGUGACAGGUAGUCCUGUGAGAUGUAUAUCAUAGCGUCUGUUAGUCCAACCACCUACUCUAGCAGUACAACACAUAUAUGACUAAUGUCUGUCUGUGUUCUACCACAGCAUCAAGAUCCAAUACGUACAGAAAACAAACAUGGAAAAACACUCUUUGGUCACAAAAAAAAAAAAUGCAAAAGGAAAAAAACACACAAAGAAGAAAAGAAAAAGAAAGAAAGAAAAGAAGUGAAUAAGCAGGUUAAUUAAGACCAAACAGUAGUGAUUGUUGAAACAGGAAGACGGUGGAGGACUGAGGUGCACUCUGGGAUUGCAUGUGCCUGAUGCAUAGGAUUGGUGGAUCAUCAGGGAAAGGGGCGGGGUCAGAGGCCGAACAGGAAACUAGCGAGGCGAGAAAGGAGGCCUGUUAUUCCUUUUUCUCCCCUCUUCCUCCUCAUCCCCUCCUCCCCAUCCUCCUCCUCUUCCUCCUCCUUCUAACAGUAGAGGUGGAUGAGGUGAUGAAGGUGCUGCUGGAGGACGUGGAGUCAGGACCCCUCAGAGGGCUCAUCUAGUCGCUCCAAGAGAACCUACUUCCUGUUACCACAGGCUCCUCCCCCCUCACUACUGUCCGUCUCUGGGUACGCCCCUUACACAUCUUGGCCCUGAGGGAGGAGGGGGUGGAGAAGAGAGGUAGAGAGAGUGAGAAGAGAGAAGAGAGGGAGGAGAGAGGAGAGGUAGAGAGAGGGAGAAGAGAGGGAGAAAAGGGGGAGGGGGAGGAGAAGGAGUGGGAGGAGAAGAGAGUAGAGAGAGAGAAAGAUGGAGAGAAAAAGGAGGACAGAGAGAGAGCGUAGAGUAGAAGGCAGAGGGAGAUGAGAGACAGAGAGAGAGGGGAGACAGAGAGAGACAGCGCGAGAGGGGAGACAGAGAGAGCGAGAUGGGAGACAGGGUGAUUAGUACCUCUGAUAAUCAAACUAAAAGCAUGGAUAGUAAACAACAGCAAAGGGAAGAAAGGCCAAAACGGACGACAACGUAGGAAGUAAAAAGAGAAUGUUAGAAGGAAAGAGAUUGUGACAAUUCAACAGUUACCAUGGUUCCUUCACACCACA